rnacentral:rRNA from 1 species
AAAGGAAUCAAUAAGCGGAGGAGUUCCGCCGGGGGCCGGUUGUCGCUCCCACCCUUUGUCGGAGUGUCCCUCUUGUUGUUUCCUCGGCAGGCGAGCCUGCCGCCAGGAACCUCUAUAAACUCUUUGUAUCUACAGUAUUAAAAUCUCUGAUAACUAUUUAAAUUAUCACAACUUUCAACAAUGGAUCUCUUGGUUCUGGCAUCGAUGAAGAACGCAGCGAAAUGCGAAAAGUAGUGUGAAUUGCAGAAUUCCGUGAAUCAUCGAAUCUUUGAACGCACAUUGCGCCCCUCGGUAUUCCGUGGGGCAUGCCUGUUCGAGCGUCAUUUACACCCUCAAGCUCUGCUUGGUGUUGGGCGUCUGUCCCGCCUCGUGCGUGGACUCGCCCCAAAGUCAUUGGCAGCGGUCGUGCCAGCUUCUCGCGCAGCACAUUUGCGUUUCUCGAAGCUUGGUGGAUCAGCAUCCAGUAAGUUACUUCAUGACUUGACCUCGGAUCAGGUAGGGAUACCCGCUGAACUUAAGCAUAUCAAUAAGCGGAGGAAUCUUAAUUAAAUGCAUGCCCCUCUGGGAUACCCCACUUUAUUGAGGAUCUGUGUUUUGGCGGCACGCGCACUAUAAUUUUUAUCAUAUUAAAUCGAUAUAUUUAAUUACACUCACAGGAUCUGGUUGCACAGAAACACAAGCAAGAUGUGAGUAAACUGAAUACAUUUAACAUGCUUCUCGGGAGCUCGCUCUACUCCGGGCCCCACA